UCUGCCACUCGCGCCCGACGCCCCUCGCCGUCAUCGUCGCGGUCACCGUCGUCUCCGGCGCGCGGGAGCACGUCCAGGAGGUCCGCCGCGGCCGGAUCCGUCCGUUCCGAGGGCCAGCUCAAGCCGGGACGGUCCGUGCGCUCGCCAUCGAGCCCUUCUCCGCCGCGGACGUCACCAACUCGUCGUCGUUGCCACUGCUUCGGGCCGCCUCCGACCUUCUAACCUCGUCCCUGAGAACCGGGGUGAGCUUCUCCCUCGGGACCCCCUUUUACUCCUUCGAUUUGGACGCCGUAGGCCGCCAUCUCCGUCGAGCCCGAACCACCACGUAUGCGUACGUGCGCGUGCUUGCUGUCGCUGUUCCCCGUGCUGUCUGCUGUCCGCUGCUGCUGUCCCGUGCUCGCCCGUCCCUGCUGCGUGUGCGUGCCUGCACUGCUGCUCCGUUUGCUGCUGCCGCUGGCUGCUGCUACUUUCUUGCUGUGCUGCUAUAAACUACUACCGCUGCUAGCUCUGCCUGUUGCCUCUACUACCGACGCUGCUGCUUACUACUCUACUGUGUAGCCGCCGCCGCUGCUCUAGCUGCUGCUGGACGCUAGGUUUGCUGCUCCUAGAUGCUGCUACUUGUUGCUGUUUAUGGACAUGGCCGUGACCAUGCCUAAGCAUGUGUGGUGUACGUGUGUGUACAGCCACCACUGGCCGGCCCGUAUGAAUUAGCUUAGGAGAUAAUUUCUAGUUAGUUUAAUUGCUAGCCAAUGACAAGUGGGCCCCCUAAUUAGAUUAGACAAAUCUGUUUAGAAAUUUAAUAAAAUUUUGACAUGUGGGACCCCACCAACGCUGUUCACUUUGACAAGUCAUUUUGACUUGGUAAAUUCGGUUUAAUUAAAUAUAAUAAUUCCAGUAAUUCCUAAAUAUUGGUAAAACUUAAAAAAAACAUAGAAAAAUAUCCGUAACUCGGAUGAAAAUACUUUAUACAUGAAAGUUGCUCAGAACGACGAGACGAAUCAGAAUAAGCAGUCCAUUCGUCUGCCACACGUCCCUAGCAUAGCAAACGUGCAACAUUCCCCCUCCGUUCGAGCUGUCUGCAAAUGCCAAACUUCGGGGAAACAUUCCUGGAUGUUCUCCCCCUUCGCCAGUAUCGUGUAGCACUGCGUUAGAACACCCCCUAGCACCGCUUAUUCUCAUGUCGUGCAUCUGUUUUCUUGUAUUUACUGUUUCUCCUUCCUAUUCUCUCCGGUAGACCCCAAGACCGUUGCUGAUGCCACUGUGGUCGACUACGUCGACGACGACCCUUCUUACCUUUCAUCGGAGCUUCCAGGCAAGCCCCCCCUUUGAUCAUCCCGAUAUCGUCCAUUCCAUUAUCUCAUGCUUGCAUUCGAUUUUGCUAUUGUUAUUGUUUGCUCCUAUUCUGAUGCAUAGCCUGCUUUUGUACCUGCUUAUUGUUACCUACUUGCCUAUCCUAAACUGCUUAGUAUAGGUUGGCUAGUUAUCUAUGAGUGACCCCCACAUGUCCUUGUUGCCCCUGCUUCGUCAUCGACGCCUCGAUCGACGUGAUCGACGACCAGAGCCUGACACCUCACAUCACAUCACGCCCCUUUAGUUGCUCGACUCUGCAGAGCUACUAUCGAGUGCCGAGGGUGAUCCCUCAUAAUGCACUCCUGAUGAUAAUUUUGUAGUGUAUCUAUUCGGUCAUGGUCAUCGAGGGUGAUUUCCUCUUUCACCAUUCCCGAUACGGCUCUGUCGUUCAACACCUCAAGUGUGAACCUCGAGGGUGGUCCCUCUUACGUUCACCUUGAUGAUUACAUUGAGUGGAAUCCACCGGGGGUGAUUCCUCGGGUUUUCCACUUGAUGUCUGGACGCACAGUUACCUUGACUUUACUUGAGACCUUGGUGAAAGUCGGGCGGGCCCGGAGAGCACCCGCAAGAUAAUGACGUCGCACGGCCGGGCAUUCUAGGCCCUUGUCGUAAGUCCACGAGACGGGACGACGGGGUCACUUUCGAUCGUGAGUCUCUGCUCGUCUCCGCAAGCUAAUAAUACACUAUGGUUUGGAUAUUUGUUCUGAGUUGGCCUUUGGCCUUUAUGCACUAACCACCAUGCGAGAAUAAUUAUGGGCCUCGACGUUGCAGUAUCAGCCGAAGUUUUGUCAGACGUCCAGUUCAGCAUUGUGGCCGGGCCGGAUCGUGCCAUCCACUUCACGGGUGGUGCUGGUAUCCCCUUGCGCACAAUGACCUGGAGUGCAACAGGCGAUUGGCCCAGACCCUGGAGUGCUUAGGAUGUAGACCGACGGGGACCUCUCUGCUAAGCCUAGGUAGGGCUGCGACGUGUUGAUCUUUCAAGGCCGGGCAUUGACCCCAGAAAGGUGUGUCCGGCCAGAGUGAUCGAGCGUGUUGGGUAACGUGGUGCACCCCUGCAAGGAAGACAUAUAUUCGAAUACCGUGUCCACAGUAAUGGACGUUCAGACUUGUAUCCUGGUCUUAUACAACUACAAAUGGACACUUCAAUAUGUGGCUCCGGGAUUGCUUUCUCGCAGGGAGUCGAGGAAGGAUCUCUGGGCAUUAAUGUUACAACAUGUUUGUUAAUUAAACUGCUAUUCUUUACUCUUCUACAUGCUGCAAGAUGCUUGGAGCUACUUGAAGAUGCUAGUCUUCGAUAGCCUAGGCAUCCCCCCUCUAUUCUGGCAUUCUGCAGUUCAGUCCACAGAUACAACCCUUCCAUUUGAUACCAAUGCAUACUUAGUAUAGAUCUGAUGCUUGCGAGUACUUUGGAUGAGUACUCACGGUUGCUUUGCUACCCCUUUUCCCCCUUCUUUCUUCUUUCCGGUUGACGCAACCAGAUGGUGGAUCCCUGGAGCCA
rnacentral:lncRNA from 1 species